rnacentral:rRNA from 1 species
AUACCGAAGACAUGGGUCUAUGCAUUAGCAUGGGCGGUAGAGGAGCGUUCCUAUCUGCGGUGAAGCUGGACUGUAAGGUACAGUGGAGCGUUAGGAAGUGAGAAUGCUGGAAUGAGUAACCAUAAGACAGGUGAGAAUCCUGUCGGCCGUAAGAGCAAGGUUUCCUGAGCUAUGGUAAUCAUCUCAGGGUUAGUCGGGCCUAAGCCGAGGCGUAGAGCGUAGGCGAUGGACAUCAGGUUGAUAUUCCUGAACCGGCGUAAUUUGUACACUGUUCACGGAGAGAUAUUCGAAGCGGAUUCAUGGUUUAUCCGUCCAACCGAGGGGGAACCCAAAGGGAGUGAAAGUUACUUUUCGAAGUGACGAUUUUGGAAAAGGCUCUGGCUAGAAAAGCAGGUGUACGCGUGAUUAUGUCCGCCCGUACCGCAAACCAACACAGGUGCUCGAGUCGAGUAGACUAAGGCUUACGAGAGAACCUUCGCUAAGGAACUCGGCAAUACAGCGACCGUAACUUCGGGAUAAGGUCUGCCCCCACUUCGGUGGAUAUAAAGCCGCGUACUCCUCAGCGAGAGUAUUGAACGAAACGGUUAAAUUUAAUGUAAGUGUAAUGACUUGCAAGCGAGUACGUUGCAUAUUCAAAUCCGAAUAUGUAAUUGAAAAACCUUUUUAUAACCAAUAUUUUUUACUGAGAUAGAGCAAAUGAUUUUCAAUAGAAUCGGAUGCUUUUUUGUACGCGAGUCCUUCGUAUCUAACGAUGUGGGGGCCGCAGCAAAAGAGCCCACGGAACUGUUUAUCAAAAACACAGGUCUCUGCUAACACGAAAGUGGAUGUAUAGGGGCUGACUCCUGCCCGGUGCUGGAAGGUUAAGGGGAGUGCUUCACGGUGCGAACUGAAGCCCCAGUGAACGGCGGCGGUAACUAUAACCGUCCUAAGGUAGCGAAAUUCCUUGUCAGGUAAGUUCUGACCCGCACGAAUGGAGUAAUCAUGUGGGCACUGUCUCAGCGAAGGACUCGGUGAAAGUGCAUUGGCGGUAAAGAUGCCGUCUGUCCGUACCAGGACGAAAAGACCCCAUGGAGCUUUACUACAGCUUUACAUUGAAUACGGUUUCAACAUGUGUAGCAUAGGUGGGAGAUAUUGAAGCAGAUACGCCAGUAUUUGUGGAGUCACCAAGUGAAAUACCACCCUUGUUGUGAUUGUGUUCUCACGCUGACCGUUAUCCGGUUAGCGGACCGUGUAUGGUGGGUAGUUUAACUGGGGCGGUUGCCUCCUAAAGAGUAGCGGAGGCGUUCAAAGGUUGGCUAACUUCGGAUGGAAAUCGAAGUGAUAGUGUAUGCGCAUAAGCCAGCUUGACUGUGAGGAGUACAUUCCAAUCAGAGACGAAAGUCGGAGCAAGUGACCCGCUGUACGAACAUUUGUUCAUUGAAUGUGGGAUCGACAGCGCACACGGAUAAAAGUUACCCUGGGGAUAACAGGCUUAUAGCGCCCAAUAGUUCACAUAGACGGCGCUGUUUGGCACCUCGAUGUCGGCUCAUCACAUCCUGGAGGGGGAGCACCUUCCAAGGGUUCGGCUGUUCGCCGAUUAAAGUGGUACGCGAGCUGGGUUCAGAACGUCGUGAGACAGUUCGGUUUAUAUCCGGUAUGGACGUCAGGAAAUUUGAGAGGAUUUGCCCCUAGUACGAGAGGACCGGGGUGAACGUACCUCUGGUGUACGGAUUGUGGCCACCUGCUGCAUUGUCCGGUAGCUAUGUACGGAAUAGAUAAGCGCUGAAAGCAUAUUAAGCGCGAAACUAGCCUCAAGAUUAGAUUUCCCUAUGAGGACACAGAGAGACUAUCUGUUUGAUAGGUGCAAGGUGGAAGUGCGGUAACGUAUGGAGCCGAAGCAUACUAAUAGUCCCAUUGCCUUUUUAU